CUUGUGUUGACUGGCUUGAGAGUCUCCUGUGUAUUCUCUGGUCAAACUGGGCCACUGCUACAAACCCUUUCACCUCCCUAAACCCCAGUCUGGUUGGUGCUGAAGGUGGUUAUCUGAUGUCCAAUUUUCAGGAUGGAGUUGUGGCUCUCUAGUGUUGGGCCCCCUCACACAGGCCUGGAGUGUGCACCUCUGUCCAAGUGCUGCCAAACAGGCAGAACUCCCCCUUCUUGAGGAGCACCAAGUUGCUCAGGUUUGACAUUAGAGGAUUUUGAUUAGACUUCUGUCUUAAUUUUCUGUUGCUGGGACAAAAAUGCCUGACACCCACAAAUUAAAGGAGGAAAGGUUUAUUUUAGCUCAGUUUGUAGCGGUUUCAGUCCAUAGUCGGCUGGCUCCAAGACAGGGUGGCACAGCAGAGGGGCAUGGUAGAGGAUGAAGUCCAUGGCAGGGUAGGCAGGAGGUAGUGAAGCAGCAAAGCAGUAGCAGCAAGACUCCCUUUCCCUUUUAUCCCAUCCAGACUACAAGCCUUUGAGGGGGUGCCAUGCACCCCCAAGAUGGACCUUCCCAUUAUCAACACCCAAAACUUUGCUAAACCAAUCAGUAGACUAAUUUAGUAUCACACACCCUUAAUCCUAGUAUCACAACUCCUAGAUCUAGCCAGCUCUGAAAAGCCCCACAUGAGUGCAUGAGGCUUUGUGAAGACAUCUAGAUAUAACCCAUAACAGCUCCCUUGAUCACAAGGAACAAGAUUAAUAUUACUUCUCAUGGGAUAAAGGCAGGCAGGCCUUGGCCAGCCUAUGUCUAGUUCUCAUCCACACUGCCUUUCCUGGCAAGUUACUGUGGAGUCCUACUCCCACCUUCCUGGCUCUCCUUUAGUUUUCCCUCAUUUCUAAUCAGUCAACACAUUUUUUUUUUUUUUUACCAGAAGUAUUUAUUGAUGGAUCAAAGGCUAUAAUUUUAAUGGGACAACUGUGGAUUAAAAGUUUGCUGUACAGCCAAAGGUGGAAAAAGCCAUAAUCUUAGGAACUUUAUGUAAAUCAAGGAGCCUCUGAAGUACCUAAGAGUUUUGGCCAAUCUUACGGUUAUAAAGUCAUCUUAAAACAAGAUUAAACCAGCCAAACAAACAAAAAACCAAAAAACAUAAACCAGCCUCUCUGGGUCCUGGAAUUGAGACAUCUGUAAAACAACUUAGCAAAGAAAAAAAGCAGCAGAGCCACAGGAAACAAGAAAGAGCUAACAGGGAAACUAUAAACCACAGAAAAACUGAAAACAACACAAAAGCAGUCUGGAAUGCUAAUCCCUGCUCCUGGAGAAGUGAUCCUGUCUCUGCAAAUACAAAGUAAGCCUG
rnacentral:lncRNA from 1 species